CGGGAUGUAGCUCAGUUUGGUAGAGCGCCUGUUUUGGGAACAGGAAGUCGCAGGUUCAAAUCCUGUCCUCCCGAC
rnacentral:tRNA from 1 species